CGACUCCAUGAAGUCGGAAUCGCUAGUAAUCGUAGAUCAGAAUGCUACGGUGAAUACGUUCCCGGGCCUUGUACACACCGCCCGUCACACCAUGGGAGUGGGUUGCAAAAGAAGUAGU
rnacentral:rRNA from 1 species